AGCGAACGCUGGCGGCAGGCCUAACACAUGCAAGUCGAACGAACCUUUCGGGGUUAGUGGCGGACGGGUGAGUAACACGUGGGAACGUGCCUUUAGGUUCGGAAUAACUCAGGGAAACUUGUGCUAAUACCGAAUGUGCCCUUCGGGGGAAAGAUUUAUCGCCUUUAGAGCGGCCCGCGUCUGAUUAGCUAGUUGGUUGAGGUAAUGGCUCACCAAGGCGACGAUCAGUAGCUGGUCUGAGAGGAUGAUCAGCCACAUUGGGACUGAGACACGGCCCAAACUCCUACGGGAGGCAGCAGUGGGGAAUCUUGCGCAAUGGGCGAAAGCCUGACGCAGCCAUGCCGCGUGAAUGAUGAAGGUCUUAGGAUUGUAAAAUUUUUUCACCGGGGACGAUAAUGACGGUACCCGGAGAAGAAGCCCCGGCUAACUUCGUG
rnacentral:rRNA from 1 species